GCUGGUCUGAGAGGAUGAUCAGCCACACUGGAACUGACACACGGUCCAGACUCCUACGGGAGGCAGCAGUGAGGAAUCUUGCGCAAUGGGGGAAACCCUGACGCAGCAACGCCGCGUGAGUGAUGAAGGCUUUCGGGUCGUAAAGCUCUGUCAAGUGGGAAGAAACUGCAACAUGCUAAUAUCAUGAUGCAUUGACGGUACCACUGAAGGAAGCACCGGCUAACUCCGUGCCAGCAGCCGCGGUAAUACGGGGGGUGCUAGCGUUAUUCGGAAUCAUUGGGCGUAAAGGGCGCGUAGGCGGUCUCUUGUGUCAGAUGUGAAAGCCCUCGGCUUAACCGAGGGAGUGCAUUUGAAACUGAGAGACUUGAGUAUGGGAGAGGGAAGCGGAAUUCCUGGUGUAGCGGUGAAAUGCGUAGAUAUCAGGAGGAACACCGGUGGCGAAGGCGGCUUCCUGGACCAAUACUGACGCUGAGGCGCGAAGGCGUGGGGAGCAAACAGGAUUAGAUACCCUGGUAGUCCACGCAGUAAACGGUGAACACUAGGUGUAGCGGGUAUUGACCCCUGCUGUGCCGAAGCUAACGCAUUAAGUGUUCCGCCUGGGAAGUACGGCCGCAAGGUUAAAACUCAAAGGAAGUGACGGGGGCCCGCACAAGCGGUGGAGCAUGUGGUUUAAUUCGACGCAACGCGAAGAACCUUACCUGGGUUUGACAUCCCGGGAAUCCCAUAGAAAUAUGGGAGUGCCCUUCGGGGAGCCCGGAGACAGGUGCUGCAUGGCUGUCGUCAGCUCGUGUCGUGAGAUGUUGGGUUAAGUCCCGCAACGAGCGCAACCCCUAUCUUUAGUUACCAUCAUUAAGUUGGGGACUCUAAAGAUACUGCCUCGGUCAACGGGGAGGAAGGUGGGGAUGACGUCAAGUCCUCAUGGCCUUUAUGCCCAGGGCUACACACGUGCUACAAUGGGCUGUACAAAGGGUUGCAAGCCUGCGAAGGUGAGCCAAUCCCAGAAAGCAGCUCGUAGUUCGGAUUGGAGUCUGCAACUCGACUCCAUGAAGCUGGAAUCGCUAGUAAUCGUGGAUCAGCAUGCCACGGUGAAUACGUUCCCGGGCCUUGUACACACCGCCCGUCACACCAUGAGAGUUGGUUGUACCAGAAGUUGUCGGACCAACCCGCAAGGGGGGGUAGGCACCUAAGGUAUGGCUGAUGAUUGGGGUGAAGUCGUAACAAGGUA
rnacentral:rRNA from 1 species